GAUGAACGCUGGCGGCGUGCCUAACACAUGCAAGUCGAACGGAGAUUACGGACGGAAGUUUUCGGAUGGAAGCCUGUAAUUCUUAGUGGCGGACGGGUGAGUAACGCGUGGGCAACCUGCCCUAUACAGGGGGAUAGCAGCUGGAAACGGCUGGUAAGACCGCAUAAGUCGGUUAAAUCGCAUGAUUUGAUCGGGAAAUGAGCAAUCAGGUAUAGGAUGGGCCCGCGUCCGAUUAGCCAGUUGGCAGGGUAAAAGCCUACCAAAGCGACGAUCGGAAGCCGGACUGAGAGGUCGGACGGCCACAUUGGGACUGAGACACGGCCCAAACUCCUACGGGAGGCAGCAGUGGGGGAUAUUGCACAAUGGAGGAAACUCUGAUGCAGCGACGCCGCGUGAGUGAAGAAGUAUUUCGGUAUGUAAAGCUCUAUCAGCAGGGAAGAUGAUGACGGUACCUGACUAAGAAGCCCCGGCUAACUACGUG
rnacentral:rRNA from 1 species